GUGGAGCAUGUGGCUUAAUUUGACUCAACGCGGGGAAUCUUACUAGGUCCGGACCGAUUCUAUGAUCGUCGUACUGUGGGGUGCUACGUGAUUACUGGAUGAGUGGUGCAUGGCCGUUCUUAGUUCGUGGUGUCAGUUGUCUACUUAAUUGUCAUUGGUUCUCGUAUCUUACGGUACAGAACUGAUAACGAACGAGAUCGAGGCCCGUGGUUGUGUCGUUGGUUAUUAUUGUGUGCGGCAUUAACCACGGGGAUCGCGUAAUACUCCACGGUACGAUCGAAAGACUCGGCAAUAACAGGUCUGUGAUGCCCUCAGAUGUUCUAGGCUGCACACGUGCUACAUUGUGGUUUCGUUUGUAUGCGUAGAUAUCUAAGAUCCCCCGCAUCGAGUCAUAACUGGUCACACGGUUGGACUCACCGAUUGUAUAAUUAUUCGGUAUACUAA
rnacentral:rRNA from 1 species